rnacentral:lncRNA from 1 species
AAGGCCUUAAAGGCGGUCUUGUCAUCUGCCUCAGCGCAUCGAGAAUACUCAUGGCUAAAGCGACCGAUAUACUCUCGUAGUGACUCGUCCAGCUUUUGGUGAAUAGUACCAGUCAUCUGUAGAAUGCAAGCGAUCGGUCUGGAAGAUGUGUUAAGAGAUAAACAGUUUCCUCAGUUCCUCAAAUGAGUCUACUGUCUCAGGUGGAAGACAGCAAUACCAGUUUAGAGCUCCGCCAGAGAGGGUGGAGGGGAAAAGAAGACAUCGUUCUUCAUCGAUGUUCAUCUGAUAUGCCAUGGUGGACUCAAAGAGGUUAAGGUGUUCAAUU